CCCUUAGAGUUUGAUCCUGGCUCAGGACGAACGCUGGCGGCGUGCUUAACACAUGCAAGUGGAGCGACGAACCGGGGCUUGCCCCGGGGCAGAGCCGCGAACGGGUGAGUAACACGUGGGUAACCCACCCCGAUGAUUGGGACAACCCGGGGAAACUCGGGCUAAUACCAAAUGUGCUCGAAGAUCACGAGGUCUCCGAGUAAAGAUAGCUUCGGCCUUCGCAUCGGGACGGGCCCGCGGCCCAUUAGCUUGUUGGUGAGGUAACGGCUCACCAAGGCGACGAUGGGUAGCUGGUCUGAGAGGACGAUCAGCCACACUGGGACUGAGACACGGCCCAGACUCCUACGGGAGGCAGCAGUGGGGAAUCUUGCGCAAUGCGCGAAAGCGUGACGCAGCAACGCCGCGUGGAGGAAGACGGUCUUCGGAUUGUAAACUCCUUUCAGUUGGGACGAAGCUCAAGGGGUUAAUAGCCUCGUGGAGUGACGGUACCUUCAGAAGAAGCCCCGGCUAACUACGUGCCAGCAGCCGCGGUAAUACGUAGGGGGCUAGCGUUGUCCGGAAUCAUUGGGCGUAAAGAGCGUGUAGGCGGUCCGGUAAGUCCGCUGUGAAAGUCGGGGG
rnacentral:rRNA from 1 species